GAUGAAGAACGUAGCGAAAUGCGAUACGUAAUGUGAAUUGCAGAAUUCAGUGAAUCAUCGAGUCUUUGAACGCACAUUGCGCCCCCUGGUAUUCCGGGGGGCAUGCCUGUCCGAGCGUCAUUGCUGCCCUCAAGCACGGCUUGUGUGUUGGGCCUCCGUCCUCCUCCCGGGGGACGGGCCCGAAAGGCAGCGGCGGCACCGCGUCCGGUCCUCGAGCGUAUGGGGCUUCGUCACCCGCUCUUGUAGGCCCGGCCGGCGCUUGCCGACACAUCAAUCUUUUUUCCAGGUUGACCUCGGAUCAGGUAGGGAUACCCGCUGAACUUAAGCAUAUCAAUACGGAGGA
rnacentral:misc_RNA from 1 species